rnacentral:rRNA from 1 species
GAACGCUGGCGGCGUGCCUAAUACAUGCAAGUCGAACGGUCUUUCUAUGGAAGCUUGCUUCCACUGAGAAGAUAGUGGCGAACGGGUGAGUAACACGUGGGUAACCUGCCCAUAAGAGGGGGAUAACAUCCGGAAACGGGUGCUAAUACCGCAUAGUUUUCUUGAUCGCAUGAUCGGGAAAGGAAAGACGGCCUUUGUGCUGUCGCUUAUGGAUGGACCCGCGGCGUAUUAGUUAGUUGGUGAGGUAACGGCUCACCAAGACGAUGAUACGUAGCCGACCUGAGAGGGUGAUCGGCCACAUUGGGACUGAGACACGACCCAAACUCCUACGGGAGGCAGCAGUAGGGAAUCUUCCGCAAUGGACGAAAGUCUGACGGAGCAACGCCGCGUGAGUGAAGAAAGGUUUUCGGAUCGUAAAACUCUGUUGUCAGAGAAGAACAAGUUGGAGAGUAACUGCUCCAGCCUUGACGGUAUCUGACCAGAAAGCCACGGCUAACUACGUGCCAGCCGCAGC